CCUACGGGAGGCAGCAGUGAGGAAUAUUGGUCAAUGGGCGGGAGCCUGAACCAGCCAAGCCGCGUGAAGGAAGAAGGCGCCAAGCGUCGUAAACUUCUUUUGUCGGGGAACAAAGGGCGCCACGUGUGGCGUUGUGAGUGUACCCGAAGAAAAAGGAUCGGCUAACUCCGUGCCAGCAGCCGCGGUAAUACGGAGGAUGCGAGGGUUAUCCGGAUUUAUUGGGUUUAAAGGGUGCGUAGGCGGUCCGGAAAGUCAGCGGGAAAAGCCCGGGGCUCAACCCCGGCGAGCCGUUGAAACUGUCGGACUAGAGACGGCGUGAGGUACGAGGAAUGCGCGGUGUAGCGGUGAAAUGCAUAGAUAUCGCGCAGAACUCCGAUUGCGAAGGCAGCGUACCGGCGCCUGACUGACGCUGAGGCACGAAAGCGUGGGUAUCGAACAGGAGUAGAUACCCGUGUAGUC
rnacentral:rRNA from 1 species